GGUCCGUCAGUGCUUGGGGAGUAGAAGUAGGAUAUUGGUUAUAAUUGAUUUGUGGUAUUCUGAAUUGUCAUUAGAGUGUUGUAUUUUGUAAAAUAUUGAAACUUGUUAGUAGGUUGGCUUUAUGGGCGUUAUUAAUUAGGGUUAUAGAACACAUUAGUUGUGGUACUUUUUGCAUCAUGGUCUAUAGAGUGAGUUCGUUUUGGCGAAUUCCCGAAAGUUCCGGAUCUACCCUGACUAUAAAAGUUCGUGGCGACGAAGGUUUACUGGAUGUAAAUUUGCGUCGAUUAUUUUAAUGUUGAAUAAUUAUUGAAGAAGGUUGGGGUAGGGGUGAAACGCCAUUCGAAGGGGCUGAUAGCUGGUUAGGGGGGAAACAUAUCUAAGUAUGGGAGGUCGGUAGAAACUUUUGCUAUAAGCUGUCUAGGGGUUAGUCGUCCUACUUAUGUGUGGGGGAGUUAGCUCCCGCAUAGCAAAGAUUAUAUUGAAUAGAUUAGAGCUUGGUAAUGAAGUAGGAUUUAAAUUGUCUAUCUUUAAAAUGUUUAUUUAAAGUGGUUGCUAGAGUUAAUCGUUUGUUAGUGUACUCCCUAGUAAUGUUUAAUGUGUACAUGGAAUAUUAGUAUAGAAUUAGUAGGAGUAAUAUAUAGUAGUGAGUGAUUUAUAGUAUUGUUAAGGCUUAGCGUUUAGGCGUGGGGUGUUAUAUUAAGGUAAUAUAUUAGGUAGAAAGGAGAGAUAUGAAGAAUAUAGAUUGUAUAAAUAACAAUUAUCAUCAAUGAACUCGGCAAAUAUUUUCUGCACCUGUUUAUUAAAAACAUGGCUCUUUGUUUGUGGGAGAAAAAGAGUCUGGCCUGCCCGGUGGAGUUGAUCUAAACGGUCGCAGCUGUCACUGUGCUAAGGUAGCGUAAUAGGUCGUCCUUUAAUUGGGGAAAGGUAUGAAUGGUCGGAUGAUGGAAAGUCUUUAUUGGUGAUAAAUUCUGAAUUUUACUUCCAAUGUGCAAAGGCUUGGGUGUGUUUAUUAGACGAGAAGACCCUGUUGAGCUUGUUAGGCUAGGGCCUUGGUUGGUUCUAGAGUAUGUUUUUUCGGGGCUGAAAGGAAGGGAGAUUGAUACCUUCUUUUUUUAUGUUGACCCGGCAUGGCCGGUAAGAAGAAGAUAGCUACCACAGGGAUAACAGCGCAAUCUUUUUGUCAAGGUCAUAUUUGAGAGGGGGUUUGCGACCUCGAUGUUGAAUCAGAGUUCCUAUCAGGUGCAGCAGCUUGGUAAGUGGGACUGUUCGUCCUUUGAAACUCUACGUGAUUUGAGUUUAGACCGGCGUGAGCUAGGUCGGUUUCUAUCUGUAAGUUGGGAGUCCCUAGUACGAAAGGAUCGGGGCUGUUGGUUUUAAACC
rnacentral:rRNA from 1 species